rnacentral:rRNA from 1 species
ACGGGGUGCAGCAGGCGCGAACACUUUACAAUGCGGGAAACCGCGAUAAGGGAACCCCGAGUGCCAGCAUCAAAUGUUGGCUGUCCAGAUGAUUAAAAAUCAUUUGUUAGCAAGGGCCGGGCAAGACCGGUGCCAGCCGCCGCGGUAACACCGGCGGCCCGAGUGGUAGCCGUUUUUAUUGGGUCUAAAGGGUCCGUAGCCGGCCUGAUAAGUCCUUUGGGAAAUCUGGCAGCUUAACUGUCAGGCUUCUAAGGGAUACUGUCAGGCUUGGGACCGGAAGAGGUAAGGGGUACUCCAGGGGUAGGAGUGAAAUCUUGUAAUCCCUGGGGGACCAUCUGUGGCGAAGGCGCCUUACCAGAACGGGUCCGACGGUGAGGGACGAAAGCUAGGGGAGCAAACCGGAUUAGAUACCCGGGUAGUCCUAGCUGUAARCGAUGCUCGCUAGGUGUCAGACACGGUGCGACCGUGUUUGGUGCCGCAGGGAAGCCGUUAAGCGAGCCACCUGGAAGUACGUCGCAAGGC